AUUGAACGCUAGCGGGAUGCUUUACACAUGCACGUCGCACGAGUGGCGGACGGGUGAGUAAUAUAUCGGAACGUGCCCAGUAGCGGGGGAUAACUACUCGCAAGAGUGGCUAAUACCGCCUACUAGUGGAGCGGCCGAUAUCGGAUGAGCGAGUUGGUGGGGUAAAGGCUAACAAAGGCAACGAUCCGUAGCUGGUUUGAGAGGACGACCAGCCACACUGGGACGUAGACACGGCCCAGACUCCUACGGGAGGCAGCAGUGGGGAAUUUUGGACAAUGGGGGAAACCCUGAUCCAGCCAUCCCGCGUGUAUGAGAAGGCCUUCGGGUUGUAAAGUACUUUUGGCAGAGAAGCGGUAUCUGCAGAAUAAGCACCGGCUAACUACGUGCCAGCAGCCGCGGUAAUAC
rnacentral:rRNA from 1 species